GGAUAAUGCAAGUGUUUAACAGAUGCUUCACUAUUAAAAUAUUUUCCCCCCAAGUCUCAAAUAUUGAAGAAUCUCUAACCAGGGACACCAGUCCCUACGAAGACCUUGGGCGAUUUUGAAGUGCGGGCACCUCGAUUCCCCGAAUCUGUAGUGUGGCUGGUAUCGGUGUUCCCCUGGUUUAACUAGCCUGUUUGAUGGGGAAAUUGAGGCAGAGAAGCCAAGACAUGUGCUAAAGGUCAUGCAGGCUAUGAAUGGAGCUGGAAUGUGAACGCAGGCCAUAUGACCCCAGAGCCCAUGUUCUUGAACCCUUAGAAAGACAGCAGCAACACACCUGGUGCAGCAGCUGCUUAGUUGGAGUGGCUGACAAGGUUGGCAGAGGAUCCCGUUCCUCCCGUGGAGUGGCUGCCAUGAUACUGCCUGCACUGAAGCUGCUCCUAUUUCUGAAAUAUGUAUUGUUAUUUUUUUCCCUGCAUGUUGAACAUUAUACUCUUCUGUUCUUUCGCA
rnacentral:lncRNA from 1 species